rnacentral:rRNA from 1 species
UUAGUGGCGGACGGGUGAGUAACGCGUGGGUAACCUGCCUCACACUGGGGGAGUAGCAGUUAGAAAUAGCUGCUAAUACCGCAUAAGCGCACGGUUCCGCAUGGAACAGUGUGAAAAACUCCGGUGGUGUGAGAUGGACCCGCGUCUGAUUAGCCAGUUGGCGGGGUAACGGCCCACCAAAGCGACGAUCAGUAGCCGGCCUGAGAGGGUGAACGGCCACAUUGGGACUGAGACACGGCCCAAACUCCUACGGGAGGCAGCAUG